GAUGAACGCUAGCGGCAGGCUUAAUACAUGCAAGUCGAGGGACAGCACAGGUAGCAAUACUGGGUGGUAACCGGCAAACGGGUGCGGAACACGUACACAACCUUCCUUUAAGUGGGGGAUAGCCCAGAGAAAUUUGGAUUAAUACCCCGUAAUAUAGUUGAAUGGCAUCAUUUGAUUAUUAUAGCUACGGCGCUUAAUGAUGGGUGUGCGGCUGAUUAGAUAGUUGGCGGGAUAACGGCCCACCAAGUCUACGAUCAGUAGCUGAUGUGAGAGCAUGAUCAGCCACACGGGCACUGAGACACGGGCCCGACUCCUACGGGAGGCAGCAGUAAGGAAUAUUGGUCAAUGGACGCAAGUCUGAACCAGCCGUGCCGCGUGAAGGAUUAAGGUCCUCUGGAUUGUAAACUUCUUUUAUUUGGGACGAAAAGGGGCCUUUCUAGGUCAACUGACGGUACCAGAUGAAUAAGCACCGGCUAACUCCGUGCCAGCCGCCGCAGUAACAC
rnacentral:rRNA from 1 species